rnacentral:lncRNA from 1 species
GUCUCUCCCUUCAGGGACCGGUCCCCGAGAGCUGAAAACCUGCAGAAUGCAGAUUUCACAACUUUAGCUCUCGAAAACCUCCCGUAACUCACUUUUAAUCGUUUUAACACCUUCGGACUUUCCGAAGUGUACCGUCCUCGUACUUUGGUCAAUUUGACUAAAGUUCGAUAUUUAUUUUCCGAAUUUUCGGUAUAUUACAGCAAAUAUGUUAGUCCAACAAAUAUCCAACUAACAACUAUCAUAUUCAUGCCUCACAAUAUGCAA